rnacentral:rRNA from 1 species
AGACCCGAAACCCGGUGAUCUAGCCAUGGGCAGGUUGAAGGUUGGGUAACACUAACUGGAGGACCGAACCGACUAAUGUUGAAAAAUUAGCGGAUGACCUGUGGCUGGGGGUGAAAGGCCAAUCAAACCGGGAGAUAGCUGGUUCUCCCCGAAAGCUAUUUAGGUAGCGCCUCGUGAAUUCAUCUCCGGGGGUAGAGCACUGUUUCGGCUAGGGGGCCAUCCCGGCUUACCAACCCGAUGCAAACUGCGAAUACCGGAGAAUGUUAUCACGGGAGACACACGGCGGGUGCUAACGUCCGUCGUGAAGAGGGAAACAACCCAGACCGCCAGCUAAGGUCCCAAAGUCAUGGUUAAGUGGGAAACGAUGUGGGAAGGCCCAGACAGCCAGGAUGUUGGCUUAGAAGCAGCCAUCAUUUAAAGAAAGCGUAAUAGCUCACUGGUCGAGUCGGCCUGCGCGGAAGAUGUAACGGGGCUAAACCAUGCACCGAAGCUGCGGCAGCGACGCUUAUGCGUUGUUGGGUAGGGGAGCGUUCUGUAAGCCUGUGAAGGUGUG